rnacentral:rRNA from 1 species
GUGCCAGCCGCCGCGGUAAUACCGGCAGCUCGAGUGAUGUCCCAUAUUAUUGGGCCUAAAGCGUCCGUAGCUGGCCGACCAAGUCUCCCGGGAAAUCCACCCGCCCAACGGGUGGGCGUCCGGUAGAAACUGGCCGGCUUGGAACCGGAAGGCUCAGAGAGUACGUCCGGGGUAGGAGUGAAAUCCCGUAAUCCCGGACGGACUACCGAUGGCGAAAGCACUCUGAGAAGACGGCUUCGACAGUGAGGGACGAAAGCUCGGGUCUCAAACCGGAUUAGAUACCCGAGUAGUCC